UACGUAGGGUGCAAGCGUUGUCCGGAAUUAUUGGGCGUAAAGAGCUCGUAGGCGGUCUGUCACGUCGGCUGUGAAAACCUAGGGCUCAACCUGGGCCUGCAGCCGAUACGGGCAGACUAGAAUUCGGUAGGGGAGACUGGAAUUCCUGGUGUAGCGGUGAAAUGCGCAGAUAUCAGGAAGAACACCAAUGGCGAAAGCAGCUUCCUGGGACGGUACUGACGCUGAGACGCGAAAGCGUGGGGAGCGAACAGG
rnacentral:rRNA from 1 species